rnacentral:rRNA from 1 species
UGUAAGCGUAUACCAAAGUUGUUGCAGUUAAAACGCUCGUAGUCGGACUUUGGCAGUUCCGGAUGUGUGCACGUCGUGUGCGCACUUCGCGGGGAUUGCUUUUGUGGUCUUGCGUAGGAUGAGGCACUUUUAUUAGUGAACGUCCUCACGCAACCACUUUUUACUGUGAGAAAAUCAGAGUGCUCAAAGCAGGCAUUUGCCGUGAAUGUAUUAGCAUGGAAUAAUAGAAUAGGACUUGGUUCUAUUUUGUUGGUUUGUUGGGGCUGAGUAAUGAUUAAGAGGGACAGUUGGGGGCAUUUGUAUUUCGGUGCUAGAGGUGAAAUUCUUAGAUUACCGAAAGACAAACUGCUGCGAAAGCGUCUGCCAAGGAUGUUUUCAUUGA